CCUACGGGGCGCAGCAGUGGGGAAUAUUGCACAAUGGGGGGAACCCUGAUGCAGCGACGCCGCGUGGGCGAUGGAGUAUUUCGGUAUGUAAAGCCCUAUCGGCAGGGAAGAAAAUGACAGUACCUGAGUAAGAAGCCCCGGCUAACUACGUGCCAGCAGCCGCGGUAAUACGUAGGGGGCAAGCGUUAUCCGGAUUUACUGGGUGUAAAGGGAGCGUAGACGGCCAGACAAGUCUGAAGUGAAAAUCCAGCGCUUAACGUUGGAAGUGCUUUGGAAACUGCCGGGCUAGAGUGCAGGAGGGGCAG
rnacentral:rRNA from 1 species